UACGUAGGGGGGCAAGCGUUGUCCGGAUUUAUUGGGCGUAAAGAGCGUGUAGGCGGCCGCACAGGUCCGUUGUGAAAACUGGAGGCUUAACCUCCAGACGUCGAUGGAAACCGUGCGGCUAGAGUCCGGAAGAGGAGAAUGGAAUUCCUGGUGUAGCGGUGAAAUGCGUAGAUAUCUGGAGGAAUACCGGUGGCGAAGGCGGCAUCCUGGACCGACAUUGACGCUGAACGGCGAAAGCUAGGGGAGCGAACAGG
rnacentral:rRNA from 1 species